rnacentral:rRNA from 1 species
AGCUUUGAAGAAUGUCUUUGUUAACUCAAGGAUUAGUAUUCUAGUUCUAUGUAUUUACAAACUCUAUGAAUGUCUAGAAUGUCUUUUAUUGGGACUUCAUUGACCCUUUAAACUUUAUACAACUUUCAGCAACGGAUCUCUUGGCUCUCGCAUCGAUGAAGAACGCAGCGAAAUGCGAUAAGUAAUGUGAAUUGCAGAAUUCAGUGAAUCAUCGAAUCUUUGAACGCACCUUGCGCCCUUUGGUAUUCCGAAGGGCAUGCCUGUUUGAGUGUCAUUAAAUUCUCAACUUCAAAAGCUUUGUCUUUUUGAAGCUUGGAUGUGAAGGUUUGCUGGCGUUUCAAAUGUUCAGCUCCUUUCAAAUGUAUUAGUGGACCCAUUUGUGUUCAGCCUUAGUGUGAUAAUUAUCUACGCUAUGGUCUUUGAAUGCAUGCUCAUUAG